AUUGAACGCUGGCGGCAGGCCUAACACAUGCAAGUCGAACGAGUGGCGGACGGGUGAGUAAUGUCUGGGAAACUGCCUGAUGGAGGGGGCUAACUACUGGAAACGGUAGCUAAUACCGCAUACCAUCGGAUGUGCCCAGAUGGGAUUAGCUAGUAGGUGGGGUAACGGCUCACCUAGGCGACGAUCCCUAGCUGGUCUGAGAGGAUGACCAGCCACACUGGAACUGAGACACGGUCCAGACUCCUACGGGAGGCAGCAGUGGGGAAUAUUGCACAAUGGGCGCAAGCCUGAUACAGCCAUGCCGCGUGUAUGAAGAAGGCCUUCGGGUUGUAAAGUACUGUCAGCGGGGAGGCGUUACCCGCAGAAGAAGCACCGGCUAACUCCGUGCCAGCAGCCGCGGUAAUAC
rnacentral:rRNA from 1 species